rnacentral:rRNA from 1 species
CCUGAAGUAAUUCUAAACGUAUAAGAGGUCCCGCCUGCCCUGUGACUAACAGUUUAACGGCCGCGGUAUUCUGACCGUGCGAAGGUAGCGUAAUCACUUGUCUUUUAAAUGAAGACCUGUAUGAAUGGCAUAACGAGGGCUAAGCUGUCUCCUUUUUCCAGUCAAUGAAAUUGAUCUUCCCGUGCAGAAGCGAGAAUAAACACAUAAGACGAGAAGACCCUAUGGAGCUUUAGACACAAGGCAGCUCAUGUAAAACCACCCAAAUUAAAGGUAAUAACAAUAUAAUGUCUGCCCUCAUGUCUUUGGUUGGGGCGACCGCGGAGAAACAAGAAUCCUCCACGUGGAACAAAGAUUCCCUUUUAAAAUAAGAGCCACAGCUCUAAUUAUCAGAAUAUCUGACCAACAAGAUCCGGCAAAGCCGAUCAACGAACCGAGUUACCCUAGGGAUAACAGCGCAAUCCCCUUUUAGAGCCCAUAUCGACAAGGGGGUUUACGACCUCGAUGUUGGAUCAGGACAUCCUAAUGGUGCAGCCGCUAUUAAGGGUUCGUUUGUUCAACGAUUAAAGUCCUACAUGAUCUGAGUUCAGACCGGGGGGA